UUCAAUACUGUUGUUCGCAUUCGUGGACAAUGGUGUGCACUUUUCUCUUAGUAAGACGUUGUGAUCCAUUAGGAAUCGAGUGUCUAUCUAAAGUUGGACACUCAGUAGGCUACCAAUAGGCGGGCAUUGAAGUUCAUAUUGWCGCAUAACUCGAUCUUUUGGUUGGGUAUAGUUUCUUGUGAGCGUGCCAUGUUCUGAUGUAGCUGCCUGAUGGUUUUUAGAGGUUGCAUCACUGAUACUUGUAUCACCCAUAUUAUGGGACAUGCGAUGCAUACCCGAUCAACAACGGUUUCAUUUGGGAUACCUUUGGGACCCGUCUUGAAACACGGACCAAGGAGUCUAUCUAGUAUGCGAGUAAAUGGGAUCAAUGAAUGAAACCUAUUUGCGUAAAUAACUUGACUGUAAUUUAAUGGGAUUACGUGUGUAUAAACUACUUGUAGUGUGCGCACCUCCAUCCCGGAGUAUUUUCAUCACAUAUAUGGGGCAACUUAUAUAUAGAAAAUAUAUCAUGAGCAUACUGGACAUGACCCGAAAGAUGGUGAACUAUGCCUGAUCAGGUUGAAGUCAGGGGAAACCCUGAUGGAGGACCGAAGCAAUUCUGACGUGCAAAUCG
rnacentral:rRNA from 1 species